AACGCUACUCGGGAGCUCACCACAUGUCAAGCCGAGCGGUAGAGAUUCUUCGGAAUCUUGAAGAGCGGCGCACGGGUGCGGAACACGUGUGCAACCUGCCUUUAUCUUGGGGGAUAGCCUUUCGAAAGGGAGAUUACUACCCCAUAAUAUACUGAGUGGCAUCACUUAUUAUUGAAAACUCCGGUGGAUAGAGAUGGGCACGCGCAAGAUUAGAUAGUUGGUGAGGUAACGGCUCACCAAGUCAAUGAUCUUUAGGGGGCCUGAGAGGGUGAUCCCCCACACUGGUACUGAGACACGGACCAGACUCCUACGGGAGGCAGCAGUGAGGAAUAUUGGACAAUGGGUGAGAGCCUGAUCCCAGCCAUCCCGCGUGAAGGACGACGGCCUAUGGGUUGUAAACUUCUUAUUGUACAGUGGCUAAACCUUUUCCACACGUGUGGAAAGCCUGAAGGUACUGUACGAAGAAUAAGCACCGGCUAACUCCGUGCCAGCAGCCGCGGUAAUACGGAGCGUGCAAGCGUUAUCCGGAUGUAUUGAGUUUAAAGGGUCCGUAGGCGGAUCUGUAAGUCAGUGGUGAGAUCUCAUAGCUUAACUAUGAGA
rnacentral:rRNA from 1 species